rnacentral:misc_RNA from 1 species
GAAAUUGUAGAAGUUAUUCUAUUAAUAUUAAGCCUCUUCGUCUUGCUCUUUAGCAAAGAAUCUUAGAGGUUGAUCCAUGGCUGAUAUCAAUAUCCAGGGAAAAAAAAAAGGAAAAGCAAAAAUCUUUUUUUGGAAAAAAGGGUAAUGAGAGAACUCAUUACAAGGACUAGGUAGAAAUUAUGAAAUCUUGCUUUCUUUUUCAGACAUCCCACANNNNNNNNNNNNCUGCUGCAGCUUGUUGCUCAAAGUGACCCAAACCUUGAUGAAUUCUUGGAUGACCAAUUCCUCUAAAC